rnacentral:misc_RNA from 1 species
GGUCUCAGGCUGUGAAAGGUUCUAUAGUUUCUUCACACAAACCACUGUUGGGAUCAAUGGAAUGGGUGGUAUUGGUACAUGCCUGCGAGCGCUAGCGAAUCCAACAUCAAUUUUACCACGAUUGCUAUAUAUCCUAGCGCAAAAUGUUUAACACAUUGAGCUUGUCUCAGAGUGUAAGCGCCUACUGGGCUAACGCCGGGACGCAGACCUGGCGUUCUGUAAGAGAGACAGACAGAUAGAGAGAGAGAGAGAGAG